AGUGAAAGUAAAGAAAUUUCCGAUUUCAACCAACAACUAGUUUUAAAGGGACCAAUUUAGCAAAGUUGUGUCUAUUUAGAAGCAACACAACUUUGCAUAGCUUGACAGUUUGCUUAGCUAGAAGCUGACUAGAAGUUGCUGUUGCUAGAAGCAAAAGUUUGAAGUGGGAACUUUAUGAAAGAAAGGAGAAAGUCAUGGCUGACAGUGAAGUGGUCCUAAAUACACCAGGUGGUCAUUUAGCAAAUGUAAAUAAUAGUGGUU